CAUGAAGCUGGAUUCGCUAGUAAUCGCGCAUCAGCCACGGCGCGGUGAAUACGUUCCCGGGCCUUGUACACACCGCCCGUCAAGCCAUGGAAGCCGGGAGUGCCUGAAGUACGUGACCGCGAGGAGCGUCCUAGGGCAAAACUGGUGACUGGGGCUAAGUCGUAACAAGGUAAC
rnacentral:rRNA from 1 species